GAGAAAGCUAUGGAGAGGAAGAACAUGAAUUGGAGCUAAGGUUCUCGAGGAGAAAUUCUAAUUAGGAAAUCAGUGUAGAAUCAAUGGAAUUGAGGUAGAAUGUAAAACCCUUUCUCUUUUGGUGUUUUAUUUCGUAUGCCUUUGAAUUGUUAGGUUUCUGCAAUUUAAUUGAAUAAAUAAACAUCUCUUAUUUAUGAUCAGACUUCUCCUAUUGAUAUAAAACAUGAUUAGGUAUCUCUUGUUAAAAUUUGAGAAUUUUCAUACACAAAUUCACCGUUGAAUAUUCCUUGUAAUUUUUAUUAUGAUUUCUGAAAUUCUGGACAGUUUCGUUUUGCUGUGAUUUUGAUGUUCUUAGGAAGUCUUAAUGAUGUUAAAAUGAUUUUAGGUUUUAACAAAAGUUGUAUAAAAUUGUCUUAUCUUUCAUUGGGCUUUGGAUUUUCUUAAUUUGACACUAAUAUGAAUUUAUGGUGAAUUGUUUGGUAAUAACAUGGAAUCUGCCCAGUUUUUAGGUUGUCAUUAUAAAUUCAACAUAUUUUGUUUGAACCGUUGGUUUACUGUGAACUUUUUAUAUGUUGUAUAUUAUUAAUUCAUGUAUGUCCUUGUAAAGUUUGAAGAUGAUCAGAUAAAGCUAUCACCACGGGGCAUAUAAUGUUAUGUGGCUGCAGUUAACUUGUUUGCAUAAAUGCUUGAAAGAAAUUCAUGUUGUUAAGACAUGAUUGCUUUUGAAAAUGAUUUAUAAAAGUAAAUGAGUUCAUGUUUUACCUUUAUAUGGAACAUGUUUUAUGCUAACGGAGGGUAAUGAUCCCCGAGAGUUAAAUGGGUAAUGAUCCCCGUGGGAACUUGUGUUUCCUGACCAUCGAUGGCGGGUGUCCGUGCCGGUAAACAAUAGGUGGAUGUAAGAACCAAGGUUUUCGUACCGUGAAUGAAACGGGUAAUGAUCCCCGAGAGCAGAUGGGUAUGAUCCCCAUAGGAACUUUUGUUCCUGACCAUCGAUGGAGGUUGUCCGUGCCGAUAAACGAUAGGUGGGUGUACGAACCAAGGUUUUCGUACCGUGAACUCAUGGUUUCUCUGUGACUAUAUUAAUACGUGAAAAGAUGUGUUGAAUCAUUGAUGAUUGACUUGUUGGAAAUUAUUUUGGUAUUGUAAACUCAUGGUUUCUCUGUGACGAUAUUAAUAUGUGAAUAGAUGAGUUGAAUCAUUGAUGAAUGACUUGUUAACAAUUAUUUUGGUAUUGUAAACUCAUAGUUUGUUGGUGAAAAUAUUGAUAACUCAUGGUUUAUUGGUGAAAAUAUUGAUACGUAACUCAUGUUUGAAACUUAAAAGGAUGGGUUGUUGGAAACAUUAUUGAUGAUGUUAAUUGGUGCAUUGAAUCCUAAAUGGAUGAUUUGUUGGCAAUAAUAUUGGUAUUGUGAACUCAUGAAUGAACAAAUAAAUUGGAUGAUUUGGUGAAAAUAAUAUUUGUGAGGUAAUGUUGGUGGUUGAAUAUAUUCGUUGAAGUUGCACUGUAUUUCUUAUUGUAUGUUAUUCCUUGAUAAAAUGAUUUUGUUUCCACAUCUUUAGAGAAUAGGGGUACAUUCUAUUGAGCUGUCAUCUCGCCCCAAUUGACAUCCUUGCGGAUUUAUCAGAGUGGCGCAGUGAAAGCUAAGAAUGAGUAGCUCAGUGAUUGAAUUAUUUUAUUGUAUUUCUUGAAAUGUAAUUUGAAAUAAUAUGUUUGGUUGAAAAUGUUCUUAAAGAUAAUUGGUGGAUUUAUAUGCUUCAACUCAUGUUAUAUAAAGUUUCAACUAUGUUUUGUGUAAAAGAAGAUUAGCAAAAAAAAAAGUCUCUUUCCAACCCGUAAAGCUUCGAGUUCAGAUCUCCAUACGGGUUUGAACCUGGUCCGGAACUCAGGGUGUUACAUUAGUUAUGGGUAUAAUAAGAGAACAUGUUUCAGUUCUUUUUGCUGAGUGCUAUGAAGUGUUGCGAGAAGUCAUCAAUUGUGUUCAGUUGACGAGAAUUGAUUCUUAUAUAGUUAAAGUGGAAAGACUUAUAGAACGGAUUCAAAAUCUCUUAUCUGAGAAUUUUGGAGCUAUUGGACAUCAUCGGAAGGUUACACAUAAAUGUUGUGUGGGAAUAUACCUCGUCGAUUAUCUUUCCCAUGUCGCAGAGCAGCAGGUAAAGGAUUAUUGCGAAGAAUACAUAGAGGAAUGACCAUACCUCUAGAUACUUUUAUCCUAGAUACAUCGAAGGACCCUCUACACAAAAGUGAGCAUGAAAACUUCUGUUGAGCUUGCUGAGGAGGGAGCAAAGAGAAAUAGGAAAGAAAGGUACAGAAAUAAUGAGCAAAUAUUAAAGAACAGAAAGUCCCCUCAGGGCCUCAGAGGGAUGCAUACUUGGAAGAGUAGCAAAGAAAAUGAAGGGAAAAAAACUCGAGGAAAAGACAAAGUCGAAAAGAUCAACAAUCAGGGAAAACUAGAAAAGAACGCAACAUGAGAAUCAACCAUAGGAAGAGGCAAAAAAUAAUAGAGCAAAAACAACAAUAGGAAAAAGAGAAGUAAUCAUAAAGACAUGGGACGCUACACCCUAUCCAAGAGAGCGGUGAAUCCGAGGAAAGUACAGAGGGAAGCGAUAGUAAAAGGAGGAAACAUCCACGAAAAGUAUUAGAAUAAGAAAUGUCAGAAUUUAGUUGGUUGUGUUUUUUUAUUUGAUACAGUUAAGUGUAUGCUACGAGUCCCAAGUUAUUUUGUAUGUUCCUUGUUAAAAAUUGUUGCAUGCAUACUUGUCUUUCCUCCUUCAGUUUCUAUCCAUAUGUAUACUUGCUUCAUCA